CUCUUCCAUCUCCAAUAUCUGUUGGUGCUCCAGACAUUUUCAUUCCGGCAAACCAGCCUAUGAAAUGGAUGAAACACAUCGUGACUGGGUUCCAGCGCUACACAAGGGGCACUCCGAAAUCCCUGCUUCAAACAUACCGCCAUGCCAAUCAGAUUACUUCUUCCAUGUGAGGGUGAAGAUGUGACCCUUCUGGAUAAGAUGGUGAAGGUUUGCUGCGUUUUGGUGAACAGUGUGGUAGUAAAACCAGGGAAAAAUGAAACUUGUGCCUGUUAAAUAUUCUUAAGUCUUGCGCUGUAUAAAUAGCGGUAAUUUUUCAAAGAUACAGUAAAUUAAGUAGUGUUAGUAGUUGGUAAUAUCAUGUAAACGCUGUCAUGAUUUUGUGUAAACAUUUUGUCAUUUGUAAACUAUAAAUGACAUUGAUUCUACAUUGUAACUGAUGUGAUGUUCUAUAAAGUGGUUUUAAU